UACACGACACGAUGAGUUUGUGAAAAUUUUCGGAGAAGUUUUUGGAUAUCCGAGCUAUUUAUAUCGAUUUUCCAAAGUUAUGGGAUUAUAGAAAUUAAUUUAAGAAAUAGGAAACAAGUGGAGCGAUCCUAGCCAUUCCUUUUUUCCACCGCUUGAUCUUAGUUGUCCAUUGUUGAAUGGGACAACUCAGAUCAGUAAGAAGAACCAGAAGCAUCGAGAGAGAGAAAGACAGCUGGGAGCUCCCUGACCCGAGACGUAGCGCGACCCGACAAGGUGACCCGGCCAUUGGGCCACGUUACAACCACCCCACGACGGCUCCCAGGUGCCAUUCCCUUCAUCUCUUCGUCGCCUACGUUCUUGUGUCCUCGGAUCAUACAUGCAACGAUCGUGAACGGAGAAUCAAUGGCGAGUUUCUGCAACUUCCGGAGACUCUGGCCACAGUUUUUGCCUCCUGGGCCACGGCUCCGCCAUGUUCUUCGAGUCCAGCAACGUCUCCAGAGCUUCUAGCUUAGGUGGCGGGUGAAGGAUGAUUCACUAUUCAUACUCUACACGCUGGACCUAGUCUGCGAGUUCGAUCAAGAUUUUGGAGAAGCUGUGUUUGGGGUGCAAUCUGCCUCCAUCGAGGUUUGAUUUUCCUGGUCUGUCUUUUGAUUGAUUUUAGUAUUAGACUAUGGACUGAGGCUUAGUUGUGUUGUAUACAGGAUUGGGGAAUUAGUUAGCUACACCUGCUUGGGCUUGCUGUGCUCUCCUAAUGAGUGCAGACUUUGCGAUAAGUCGAUCAUAAGGUGAGUUGGAUUUGUUGGAGAAAUUCUGGGAAAUUUCCUUGUAGUUGAUUGCUAGUGUUUGUAUGAUAGUCGUACCCUGUAGUGAAGGAUGGUAAUUUGAGUUGUUUCUGGUCUACCAACUUGAUGUCUUCAGUCUUGAAUUGGAAAUUUGGAUGAGUUGUGGUGCUUAGGUUUGAAUGUUGAUGUCUUGCUAAGGUUUGCUCGGUAGGUAGUUUGAAAUGGUUGUGGUCUAUUUGAAAUGGUCAAGUUAUAUUGUGGGUCAAGUUCA